rnacentral:rRNA from 1 species
AGGGUGACCGGCCACACUGGGACUGAGACACGGCCCAGACUCCUACGGGAGGCAGCAGUGGGGAAUAUUGCACAAUGGGCGAAAGCCUGAUGCAGCAACGCCGCGUGAGGGACGACGGCCUUCGGGUUGUAAACCUCUUUUAGCAGGGAAGAAGCGAAAGUGACGGUACCUGCAGAAAAAGCACCGGCUAACUACGUGCCAGCAGCCGCGGUAAUACGUAGGGUGCAAGCGUUAUCCGGAAUUAUUGGGCGUAAAGAGCUCGUAGGCGGUUGGUCGCGUCUGCUGUGAAAUCCCGAGGCUCAACCUCGGGUCUGCAGUGGGUACGGGCCAGCUAGAGUGCGGUAGGGGAGAAUGGAAUUCCUGGUGUAGCGGUGGAAUGCGCAGAUAUCAGGAGGAACACCGAUGGCGAAGGCAGUUCUCUGGGCCGUUACUGACGCUGAGGAGCGAAAGCGUGGGGAGCGAACAGGAUUAGAUACCCUGGUAGUCCACGCCGUAAACGUUGGGCGCU